rnacentral:rRNA from 1 species
AAUGAACGCUGGCGGCGCGCCUAAUACAUGCAAGUCGAGCGAGAAGACGUAGCAAUACGUUUGUAAAGCGGCGAACGGGUGAGGAAUACAUGGGUAACCUACCCUAGAGUGGGGAAUAACUAGCCGAAAGGUUAGCUAAUACCGCGUACGCUCCUUGGACUUCGGUUCAGGGAGGAAAGCGAUGCCGAGGGUAUCGCGCUCUUGGAUGGGCUCAUGUCCUAUCAGCUUGUUGGGAGGUAACGGCUCACCAAGGCUUCGACGGGUAGCUGGUCUGAGAGGACGAUCAGCCACACUGGCACUGCGACACGGGCCAGACUCCUACGGGGGCAGCAGUAAGGAAUAUUGCGCAAUGGGCGAAAGCCUGACGCAGCGACGCCGCGGUGGGGGAUGGAAGGUCUUCGGAUU